AAUCUUGCGCAAUGGUCGAAAGCCUGACGCAGCCAUGCCGCGUGAAUGAUGAUGGUCUUAGGAUUGUAAAAUUCUUUCACCGGGGACGAUAAUGACGGUACCCGGCGAAGAAGCACCGGCUAACUUCGUGCCAGCAGCCGCGGUAAUACGAAGGGGGCUAGCGUUGCUCGGAAUUACUGGGCGGAAAGGGCGCGUAGGCGGAUCGUUAAGUCAGAGGAGAAAUCCCAGGGCUCAACCCUGGAACUGCCUUUGAGACUAGCGAUCUUGAGUAUGAGAGAGGUAUGUGGAACUCCGAGUGUAGAGGUGAAAUUCGUAGAUAUUCGGAAGAACACCAGUGGCGAAGGCGACAUACUGGCUCAUUACUGACGCUGAGGCGCGAAAGCGUGGGGAGCAAACA
rnacentral:rRNA from 1 species